rnacentral:rRNA from 1 species
AACGAACGCUGGCGGCAUGCCUAACACAUGCAAGUCGAACGAAGCCUUCGGGCUUAGUGGCGCACGGGUGCGUAACGCGUGGGAAUCUGCCCUUAGGUACGGAAUAACUCAUGGAAACGUGUGCUAAUACCGUAUGAUGUCUUCGGACCAAAGAUUUAUCGCCUAGGGAUGAGCCCGCGUUGGAUUAGCUAGUUGGUGAGGUAAAGGCUCACCAAGGCGACGAUCCAUAGCUGGUCUGAGAGGAUGAUCAGCCACACUGGGACUGAGACACGGCCCAGACUCCUACGGGAGGCAGCAGUGGGGAAUAUUGGACAAUGGGCGAAAGCCUGAUCCAGCAAUGCCGCGUGAGUGAAGAAGGCCUUCGGGUUGUAAGCUCUUUUACCCGGAAGAGUAAUGACUGUACCGGGAGAAUAAGCCCGGCUAACUCCGUGCCAGCAGCCGCGGUAAGCUCGUCUCUA